GUGGGGAAUAUUGGACAAUGGGCGCAAGCCUGAUCCAGCCAUGCCGCGUGUGUGAUGAAGGCCUUCGGGUUGUAAAGCUCUUUAGCCGAUGAUUAUAAUGACUGUAGUCGGAAAAUAAGCCCCGGCUAACUUCGUGCCAGCAGCCGCGGUAAUACGAAGGGGGCGAGCGUUAUUCGGAAUCACUGGGCGUAAAGCGUGCGUAGGCGGCUUUGCAAGUUGGGAGUGAAAGCCCAGGGCUCAACCCUGGAAUUGCUCUCAAAACUGCAAGGCUCGAAUUCGGGAGAGGAUAGCGGAAUUGUCAGUGUAGCAGUGAAAUGCGUAGAUAUUGACAGGAACACCAGUGGCGUAAGCGGCUAUCUGGACCGAUAUUGACGCUGAGGCACGAAAGCGUGGGGAUCAAACAGGAUUAGAAACCCUGGUAGUCC
rnacentral:rRNA from 1 species